GUGGCGGUGCAGGAUAGAGCGGGAAGCCAGACGAGGAAGACGAGGAAGACGUGGAAGACGUGACUGCUUCCACUGAAGUUCACUACGUGCUGUCCUGGAUGUGUUCCUGACUCCCCGGUGACUUCUCAGCAGGACACGGUGAUGGAGACUUCAGGGGACCCGUGUCUUCUUUGGCCUCAUAACAGGGCCCCUGAUGCAUGAUUCAUGUCCUGUUAAAUGUUUGCACCAUGUGGAAACGUUAAAGAGCAAAGUACAAGAGGCUACAGUGCAAUUCGUGCACAAUUGUUGGAUGUAACUGUGCUGAAAGUCAUGCUCACCUAAUUAUUGCAGGAUAUUGUCUGCAGUCCAGGAGGGGUUUAAACAGGCCACAUUCAUCAGGAGAUAUGAUGGUGUGUAUGGGCUCUGGCAUAGUCUGUCUUAGGUUGUAUUCUCUUCAAUCUAAAUUGCACAUCAUAAUUGUCUUUUUAAACAAAAGUUUUUGGGAUUACCUAAUUUGAUGGGAAAAUGCUGAAAAAAAUCAUAUUUUCCCACUGACUUCCUACUGUUGUAAAAAUCUAAAUAAGAAAUUUAAAUUUAUAAUAGUCUUGAAAA